AGAAUCAACGCUGGCGGCGUGCCUAACACAUGCAAGUCGAACGAGAAAGUGGUAGCAAUACCAUGAGUAAAGUGGCGCACGGGUGAGUAACACGUGACUAACCUACCCUGGAGUGGGGGAUAAACUGAGGGAAACCUUAGCUAAUACCGCAUAACACCUACGGGUCAAAGGAGCAAUUCGCUUCAGGAGGGGUCGCGGCAGAUUAGCUAGUUGGCGGGGUAAUGGCCCACCAAGGCAGUGAUCUGUA
rnacentral:rRNA from 1 species